rnacentral:tRNA from 1 species
UGCAUCGGCCGGGAAUUGAACCCGCGUGGCAGGCGAGAAUUUUACCACUGAACCACCGAUGC